CCUACGGGAGGCAGCAGUGGGGGAUAUUGCACAAUGGGGGGAACCCUGAUGCAGCGACGCCGCGUGGGUGAAGAAGCGCCUCGGCGCGUAAAGCCCUGUCAGCAGGGAAGAAAAUGACGGUACCUGAAGAAGAAGCCCCGGCUAACUACGUGCCAGCAGCCGCGGUAAUACGUAGGGGGCAAGCGUUAACCGGAUUUACUGGGUGGAAAGGGGGCGCAGACGGCGAUGCAAGCCAGGAGUGAAAGCCCGGGGCCCAACCCCGGGACGGCUCUUGGAACUGCGUGGCUGGAGUGCAGGAGGGGCAGGCGGAAUUCCAGGUGUAGCGGUGAAAUGCGUAGAUAUCAGGAGGAACACCGGUGGCGAAGGCGGCCUGCUGGACUGCAACUGACGUUGAGGCACGAAAGCGUGGGGAGCAAACAGGAUUAGAUACCCCGGUAGUC
rnacentral:rRNA from 1 species